GACGAACGCUGGCGGCGUGCUUAACACAUGCAAGUCGAACGGAAAGGCCCUGCUUUUGUGGGGUGCUCGAGUGGCGAACGGGUAAGUAACACGUGAGUAACCUGCCCUUGACUUUGGGAUAACUUCAGGAAACUGGGGCUACUACCGGAUAGCAGCUCCCCCUGCAUGGUGGGCGUUGGAACGUUUCGGCGGUUGGGGAUGGACUCGCGGCUUAUCAGCUUGUUGGUGGGGUAGUGGCUUACCAAGGCUUUGACGGGUAGCCGGCCUGAGAGGGUGGACGGCCACAUUGGGACUGAGAUACGGCCCAGUCUCCAACAGGAGGCAGUAGUGGCGAGUAUUGCACAAUGGGCCGAAGCCUGAUGCGGCAACGCCGCGUGCGGGAUGACGGCCUGCGGGUUGUAAACCGCUUUCGCCUGUGACGAAGCGUGAGUGACGGUAAUGGGUGAAGAAGCACCGGCUAACUACGUG
rnacentral:rRNA from 1 species